UACGGAGGGUGCAAGCGUUAUCCGGAUUCACUGGGUUUAAAGGGUGCGUGGGUGGGUUGGUAAGUCAGUGGUGAAAUCUCCAGGCUUAACUUGGAAACUGCCAUUGAUACUAUCAAUCUUGAAUACCGUGGAGGUCAGCGGAAUAUGUCAUGUAGCGGUGAAAUGCUUAGAUAUGACAUAGAACACCAAUUGCGAAGGCAGCUGGCUACACGAAUAUUGACACUGAUGCACGAAAGCGUGGGGAUCAAACAGG
rnacentral:rRNA from 1 species